ensembl:lncRNA
GACAAUUCUCUGUAUCUUAGAAUCCAUUCUGUCAACUACGAUCUUCUCAUAUCUGGUUAAUAACUGCAUGGUCUCAUUGAGUUCAAAGUCCAGAAUCUCUGUGUGCCAUGAGGAGUCAUUGUAUCAGAAGAUAGUGUACAACUUUUCCUGUAACAAAUUUGGAUGUGGUCCUUUUGAUCCAAAAGCCAUUUACUAAAAAGGUUCCAGAACUGGACGGAUGAAAUUUGGAGUAUGCCAAUAGAGGGAUUCCCGAAGAUACCCAGAGAACUCUGACUCUGCCACUUAAUGGAAAUGUGCGGAUGGUGGGAAGCCCCACACAGGCUGAUUCCACCUCAGAGGCAGGAUGUGAUGGACCACAUAGUCCCACAUGGGAAUCCUCUCCACUGUGUGUCACAGAAGCCUGGAGGGACACAUGGCUACAGAUUUUGGAGAAAAGGGAAUGUGAGGAGCACAAUCUCCAGAGUGG